rnacentral:tRNA from 1 species
GCCUUCUUAGUUCAGUGGUUAGAAUUUUUCACUAGUAGUGUCUGUCAACAGCAGCCUGGCUAAGAUGAAAGGGUCACCCGUUCAAUUCGGGUAGAAGGCA